rnacentral:rRNA from 1 species
AGUGAACGCUGGCGGCAGGCCUAACACAUGCAAGUCGAACGGCAGCACAGUAAUAGCUUGCUCUUACGGGUGGCGAGUGGCGGACGGGUGAGGAAUACAUCGGAAUCUACUUUUUCGUGGGGGAUAACGUAGGGAAACUUACGCUAAUACCGCAUACGACCUACGGGUGAAAGCAGGGGAUCUUCGGACCUUGCGCGAUUGAAUGAGCCGAUGUCGGAUUAGCUAGUUGGCGGGGUAAAGGCCCACCAAGGCGACGAUCCGUAGCUGGACUGUGAGGAUGAUCAGCCACACUGGAACUGCGACACGGUCCAGACUCCUACGGGAGGCAGCAGCGGGGAAUAUUGGACAAUGGGCGAAAGUCUGAUCCAGCCAUACCGCGUGGGUGAAGAAGGCCUUCGGGUUGUAAAGCCCUUUUGUUGGGAAAGAAAAGCAGCAGGUUAAUACCCCGCUGUUCUGACGGUACCCAAAGAAUAAGCACCGGCUAACUUCGUG